rnacentral:rRNA from 1 species
AUUGAACGCUGGCGGCAGGCCUAACACAUGCAAGUCGAGCGGAUGAAGGGAGCUUGCUCCUGGAUUCAGUGGCGGACGGGUGAGUAAUGCCUAGGAAUCUGCCUGGUAGUGGGGGAUAACGUCCGGAAACGGGCGCUAAUACCGCAUACGUCCUGAGGGAGAAAGUGGGGGAUCUUCGGACCUCACGCUAUCAGAUGAGCCUAGGUCGGAUUAGCUAGUUGGUGGGGUAAAGGCCUACCAAGGCGACGAUCCGUAACUGGUCUGAGAGGAUGAUCAGUCACACUGGAACUGAGACACGGUCCAGACUCCUACGGGAGGCAGCAGUGGGGAAUAUUGGACAAUGGGCGAAAGCCUGAUCCAGCCAUGCCGCGUGUGUGAAGAGGGUCUUCGGAUUGUAAAGCACUUUAAGUUGGGAGGAAGGGCAGUAAGUUAAUACCUUGCUGUUUUGACGUUACCAACAGAAUAAGCACCGGCUAACUUCGUG